UUGACGGUACCCCACAACAACCUACAGGAGCCUGUCCAAUAACCGAUAUCCCACGCAUUAACCCAACCCCCCCUAGCCAACAGUCUAUAUACCGCCGUCGCCAGCCUACCCCAUGAGGGAAACAAAGUAAGCUAAAUAGUUAUACACUAACACGACAGGUCGAGGUGUAACUCAUGGGGGGGACAAGAUGGGCUACAUUUUCUACACCAGAAAACACGAAUAAACCAUGAAAAAGAAACUGAAGGUGGAUUUAGCAGUAAACUAGGAACAUAAUACCUAAUUGAAAUAAACGCAAUGGAGUGCGUACAC
rnacentral:rRNA from 1 species